AACUUUUGGCAACGGAUCUCUUGGCUCUCGCAACGAUGAAGAACGCAGCGAAAUGCGAUAAGUAGUGUGAAUUGCAGAAUUCAGUGAAUCAUCGAAUCUUUGAACGCACAUUGCGCUUCCUGGUAUUCCGGGGAGCAUGCUCGUUUCAGAAUC
rnacentral:rRNA from 1 species